UUGUCUCAAAGAUUAAGCCAUGCAUGUCUAAGUAUAAGCAACUUGUACUGUGAAACUGCGAAUGGCUCAUUAAAUCAGUUAUCGUUUAUUUGAUAGUACCUUACUACAUGGAUACCUGUGGUAAUUCUAGAGCUAAUACAUGCUAAAAACCCCGACUUCAGGAAGGGGUGUAUUUAUUAGAUAAAAAACCAACGCCCUUCGGGGCUCCUUGGUGAAUCAUAAUAACUUAACGAAUCGCAUGGCCUUGCGCCGGCGAUGGUUCAUUCAAAUUUCUGCCCUAUCAACUUUCGAUGGUAGGAUAGUGGCCUACCAUGGUGGCAACGGGUAACGGGGAAUUAGGGUUCGAUUCCGGAGAGGGAGCCUGAGAAACGGCUACCACAUCCAAGGAAGGCAGCAGGCGCGCAAAUUACCCAAUCCCGAUACGGGGAGGUAGUGACAAUAAAUACUGAUACAGGGCUCUUUUGGGUCUUGUAAUCGGAAUGAGUACAAUUUAAAUCCCUUAACGAGGAACAAUUGGAGG
rnacentral:rRNA from 1 species